GCACUAGUAGCUCAGCACCAGAGCGCAGGCCUUGUAAGCCUGACGUCGAAGGUUAAAAUCCUUCCUAUUGCU
rnacentral:tRNA from 1 species